rnacentral:rRNA from 1 species
UACGAAGGGGGCGAGCGUUGUUCGGAUUUACUGGGCGUAAAGGGCGCGCAGGCGGCUCAUUUUGUCAGGCGUGAAAGCCCCGGGCUUAACCUGGGAACUGCGUUUGAUACGGAUGGGCUAGAGUUCGGGAGAGGAGAGUGGAAUUCCCAGUGUAGAGGUGAAAUUCGUAGAUAUUGGGAAGAACACCGGUGGCGAAGGCGGCUCUCUGGACCGAUACUGACGCUGAGGCGGCGAAAAGCGUGGGGAGCAAACAGG